CAAGUUGACCUCUCCAUCUCCUACACUUCCCACAGAGAGGGUGCAAGUAGUAAAGACAAAGCCCUGCACACCAUUCCAAGUGCUUCUCCUGUCACAUAGCUGGAAGCACCAUCUGAGCAGGUGCAGAGCUCUGCCCGAGUCCACCACUGACCUAAGAAGCAUCCUCUGCGUUAAACAGCACCACUAAAACACACACUGCUCAUCAGACAGACCAGGCAGCCCAGAGUGAGCUCCAGUGUGGGAUUAGAAAUUCACUUAAAUGUGGGCUGGCUAGUUAGCAAUUGUAUGUUUCACUUUACUGCGUGUAACUGUAGUGCAAAUUAACCUUUGAUCAAUAUGUAGAGACAGCGGCACAUAAAAAAGCUAAUGUAGAUGAACUUCAUAGCAUAAGAGCUACUGGUUGGAAAUGGAGUUUGUUCGAAUUAAAACAGCAGGUGAGGAAAUAUAACUUCAGAUAAGAUGCAGAUAAAUUCCAAACUAACUCAGGCAUCACUGCUUUACACUGCAGUGACCCCCUGAGGAGAUAUUUUCUAAGUCACUUCUUAAUCUUGGCAUCCUUAAGCUUCCUAUCCUGCAAAUUGCUCUGCAUCUUCAGGAAUAUUUUUAGUUCUCCUUCCUUUAAACUCCCCCUGAAGUGUCCAUAUUCUUCCUGAAAAGACACAAAACCACUUCAAAACAUUGAGUCAUAACGCAAGAGCAGUACUUAUUUCCACAUUAUUCUGAUUAUUCAUUUCCCAUUAAGUCCUAAGGUCAUAGUAAAGCACCUGCCAGUGUAAUACACAGAAGGUUCCAACUAAUAUCUCUGAUGACUAAACGGUCCUCCCCUGAAUCAUUCCCCUCACCAUGGUAAAUUUCUGCAAAUUUUAAGAAAAAAAAAACCCUUGUUUAAACACAGUACAACCAGCAGCUAGAUAUCACAUCUUAUGAGAAAAUCAGUCAUGAUUAUUUGCCAAGACCUACCUUUUUGACUGAUCCCCUUUUUAGGUUUUAAAUAAGGCAGCUUACUUGGCAACACCCCAGCAGCUGGCAAACCCCAAGGUUUGUUGAAAAUCAACACAGACCUCCCCAGCUGGUUUAUUUUAAGACUCCUGGGUAGAAAUUAUAAAUUCCUGUUGCAUGAAACUGAAUGUUACGCAAUGCUUUUCAUGCUACAGACCAUUAGCUAUAGUUGUUGACUCCAAAUAACAAGUAUGAGAUGCUCCCAAACAAAACUACGUCAAGACAUACCUUUCUUGUUCAACGCUUCACUGCUUUGCCUCUAGCAAGGACCUCAUCACAUAAAAGGUUUGUUUGUUGUUUAUUUUGUUCCCAACAUGAACAAAGUAUUGUUCAUUACCUUUGUCCACCAUGGCUACAGAUAUUUAAAAUCUCUCUUCAACUUUUCUGAUUCAGACGUGUUGCCCAAAUUGUACAUUCAUUGACUUUUUCAUUUUCAUCCUUUGUUUAUAUAUUGAUUUUCAGCGGCAUUGUAACUUUCCAGUGCCCACUUGACCUGCAACAAUCACUUGUACAAUAUUGCUUUCUUUUAUUCAAAUACAACAGUCCCUUUAGGGCAUCUAGAAUGCUACAGAUACUGGGAAUAUUUUGCUGUACUGCAUGUGACAGUAUUAAGCAAUUUUAUAUGGCUGCUGUUGCAACAGAGACGGAGCCUUAAAGCAUACCAAGAUCUUUUACUAGAAGGUGUCUAUAUCAUACCACUGAUUAUGAUCUACUUAGAUCUAUCUUGACACUUGUGAAUUUUCCAGUCAAUGAUCUGCUUUUCCUUUUCCAUCACGGUUUGGGUGAACACACUGUGCUUAACAAGAAGAAACAAUGAUUUUUAAAUCUUUUCAUUAAAUUAUCACUGGAUGUGAAAUUCCUCUGCCAUACUCCACUUUAAAGCAAUGAUAAAAACUUAAUUCCUCUCACAUAUUUGGAAUAAAUCCUUAAGAAUUUCACCUUAUUCUCUAGCAAGAUUAGGUGGCUCAUUGUAGAUCAUAUUUCAUUUAAUGAAUAAGAACUUUAAUUAUCUUAUUAUUCCAAACCCCAGACUUUGUAACAGCUAAUAGCUGCUCUGGAAUAAUGUACUAACCCUCUUAGCUUUUUCAUUCUGAGGAAUAAGGUCUGACAAUCAAUUCCAACAUCCUCCUCGCAAGACCCCACCUAUGAACUUAAUUAUUGUAAUCAUGUGAUCUUUCUCAAGCUCCAAAUUGUCAUUUUGGUAUCCUAGUAUUAAUACAACUGAACGAUGUACCCAAUAAAAAUAUUUUCACAUUU
ensembl:lncRNA